AUUAAACGCUGGCGGCAUGCCUUACACAUGCAAGUCGAACGGCAGCACGGGGGCAACCCUGGUGGCGAGUGGCGAACGGGUGAGUAAAGCAUCGGAACGUGCCCUGGAGUGGGGGAUAACGUAGCGAAAGUUACGCUAAUACCGCAUAUUCUGUGAGCAGGAAAGCAGGGGGAUCGCAAGACCUUGCGCUCUGGGAGCGGCCGAUGUCGGAUUAGCUAGUUGGUGGGGUAAAGCCUAACCAAGGCGACGAUCCGUAGCGGGUCUGAGAGGAUGAUCCGCCACACUGGGACUGAGACACGGCCCAGACUCCUACGGGAGGCAGCAGUGGGGAAUUUUGGACAAUGGGCGCAAGCCUGAUCCAGCCAUGCCGCGUGAGUGAAGAAGGCCUCGGUUGGU
rnacentral:rRNA from 1 species